rnacentral:rRNA from 1 species
GCAGUCGAAACGGUAACAGGUCUUCGGAUGCUGACGAGUGGCGAACGGGUGAGUAAUACAUCGGAACGUGCCUAGUAGUGGGGGAUAACUACUCGAAAGAGUAACUAAUACCGCAUGAGAUCUACGGAUGAAAGCAGGGGACCUUNGGGCCUUGUGCUACUAGAGCGGCUGAUGGCAGAUUAGGUAGUUGGUGGGGUAAAGGCUUACCAAGCCUGCGAUCUGUAGCUGGUCUGAGAGGACGACCAGCCACACUGGGACUGAGACACGGCCCAGACUCCUACGGGAGGCAGCAGUGGGGAAUUUUGGACAAUGGGCGAAAGCCUGAUCCAGCAAUGCCGCGUGCAGGAUGAAGGCCCUCGGGUUGUAAACUGCUUUUGUACGGAACGAAAAGCCUGGGGCUAAUAUCCCCGGGUCAUGACGGUACCGUAAGAAUAAGCACCGGC